GGAUAUGAUAUAUGGCAUACAUAAAAUCUUAAAAUAAAAUCUGCAUGCAUAGAUGUAAAUAGUAGAUCAAAUUUACAUCUAUCUGAGUAUAGAACUCGAUACUUAAGCACAGAUCGAUGAUCGCCGCUAUUGAGAAACCUAGUAAAGAGAUCCUCGCUAGUUGCUCGCAGCUACAUAGGGUGUCCGGUCUUUACAGAUAGUCCUUCAAAGCUCCAAUCUGAUCAACCUUCUCAU
rnacentral:lncRNA from 1 species